AUGAAACUGGAAAGGCCUCAGAGCCGAGUU
rnacentral:sRNA from 1 species